AUUGAACGCUGGCGGCAGGCCUAACACAUGCAAGUCGAGCGGAUGAAGGGGGCUUGCUCCUGGAUUCAGCGGCGGACGGGUGAGUAAUGCCUAGGAAUCUGCCUGGUAGUGGGGGAUAACGUCCGGAAACGGGCGCUAAUACCGCAUACGUCCUGAGGGAGAAAGUGGGGGAUCUUCGGACCUCACGCUAUCAGAUGAGCCUAGGUCGGAUUAGCUAGUUGGUGGGGUAAAGGCCUACCAAGGCGACGAUCCGUAACUGGUCUGAGAGGAUGAUCAGUCACACUGGAACUGAGACACGGUCCAGACUCCUACGGGAGGCAGCAGUGGGGAAUAUUGGACAAUGGGCGAAAGCCUGAUCCAGCCAUGCCGCGUGUGUGAAGAAGGUCUUCGGAUUGUAAAGCACUUUAAGUUGGGAGGAAGGGCAGUAAGUUAAUACCUUUCUGUUUUGACGUUACCAACAGAAUAAGCACCGGCUAACUUCGUG
rnacentral:rRNA from 1 species